GCAGCCGCGGUAAUACGUAGGGGGCGAGCGUUGUCCGGAAUGAUUGGGCGUAAAGGGCGCGUAGGCGGCCUGUUAAGUCUGGAGUGAAAGUCCUGUUUUCAAGAUGGGAAUUGCUUUGGAUACUGAUGGGCUUGAGUGCAGGAGAGGUUAUCGGAAUUCCCGGUGUAGCGGUGAAAUGCGUAGAGAUCGGGAGGAACACCAGUGGCGAAGGCGGGUAACUGGACUGCAACUGACGCUGAGGCGCGAAAGUGUGGGGAGCAAACAGGAUUAGAUACCCC
rnacentral:rRNA from 1 species